UACGUAGGGGGCAAGCGUUGUCCGGAAUUAUUGGGCGUAAAGCGCGUGUAGGCGGCUCGGUAAGUCUGCUGUGAAAGUCCAGGGCUCAACCCUGGAAUGCCGGUGGAUACUGUCGAGCUCGAGUCCGGAAGAGGCGAGUGGAAUUCCUGGUGUAGCGGUGAAAUGCGCAGAUAUCAGGAGGAACACCAAUGGCGAAGGCAGCUCGCUGGGACGGUACUGACGCUGAGGAGCGAAAGCGUGGGGAGCGAACAGG
rnacentral:rRNA from 1 species